AAAGAAAUCAAUCCUGGGGCGUACUCUACGCAUCAGGUUGACUAGGCCAGAUUCGCAAACCCCUAAGACCUCACUGGUCAAUUUAUUAUCGUCAUUCGAUUUGCAGCUCCUUUCACUCCGCCCUGCAGUAUCGUGAGCCAUUCUGAUAUAUAAGGUUUAUGAUUUCAGAUCUUCUCUUUCGUUCGUUCAUCCAUUCACUCUAUUUCGAGAUCUAGAGUUUCAUUUUAUUUUGAGCGUAUUCAUUUCCUUGGACCGAUGUCCGAUAUUGAAUUGAUUUGUUGAAAAAUUGUUUUAUGCAGGUGACUUUGCUGCCUUUACAAUCUGUUUUACUAUGUGAGUAUUAGCAUUCACUUAUAAAUAUUUAAUUUUCCCGAAAUCGGGAUUUGAUAUUGGCGAUUCAUUUUAUCCACCAGACGAAUUCCAUUUCGCGAUUCUUAAAUAAUUAUUGAAUUAUUGAGAACUCACACACUUUCUGAGCGGUAUGUGUUAUUAGUUUACCGAGUACAGCAAGCUAAUGUAGCUUUUACUGAAUUGGAAAAUAAUUUUAAGUGCAAGGUGCAAGGGUUAAGUUGAUAUCAGAAGUUGAGAUUUUUCUUUUUAAUUUAUGAAUAUAUCAGAAAACAAAUGAUUAGUUAUGCUGUCCCCUUCGGGUUAUGGAAUAAUGCCUUAAUAGAUUCCGGAAUUAUAUUUUGCUGUGCCACACAGGCUUUAAAAAAUGAAACCUCAAGGGCUUUUUCUAGUAAGGGAAAAUCUCCAUCAGAAUCUCCUCAUGAACUGAGUCAAGACUUCGAUUGGGUCUUCCUGUAAUCUAUGUCACUUAGGGUAAUUAAGUCCAGUACUGGCUUACUAAUGUAACUUGUAGAAUGGUUAUAUGAACUAUUGACAUAAAUGUUGAAGAGGAGAAAUGUUAAGCUUCUAUAUAGAGUCUUGAUCUACCGUCUGAAUAAAUCGAUUUCUUACAUUUCAAAUUAGCUUGUGAAGCAUAAUGUGCUUGUUAUUGCCUAAACCUAUUAAACAUUUGAGAUAAAUAAUAAAUAAUAAUUUAUAUUCAAAAAAUAAAUAAAUUAAUAAAUUGGCUACCAAAAGAACCAUCUGUCUUACUUUUUGGUUUGGCAUCAAUUUAAUAAGUAUCCUCUUCUUUUGUGCAAACUUUUAUUGUUAAUUUAGGUCGGACGAUGAGCCUGUAGAUCCAAAGCAGGAACUUGAAGAGCGAUGCAAGGCACCAUGUACUCGACCACUUAAAGAAUAUCAGGUGAUUUUGACUGAAUAGAAAUAAACCCUCCUUUUUCUUUUUCUAAUUUAAUGUCUGCUUCUCCAAUUUUCAAGUUUCCUGCCUUUUGUGUUCUUUUCACCUGAUACUUAGUAUUGCUCAAGCCUAAAUGAAAUGUUCUAUGCAUUGUACAUUUUUUCAGUUUCUAGUUCUGUAUUCUUUUUGUUUAAGCUGUUAUUACAAUCUGAUUGGAAGCUUUGUUGAACUCCUUGUAAAGUAGAGCAAUGGAGCAUAUACCAAUUAAAUAAUUGUGCACUGGAGAAACAUAUACAGAUCUGCUUCCCCAUUCCAUUCCAUUUUGAUGCUUCUCAUAUUCUUGAUAUUUCAAUAAAAUGUUGAGCACCUCUAGCAUUUGAGGAUUAUUACUACAAAUGCAGGUGUGAGAUAAGGCACACAUUGUGUGUGCAUAUCUUUUGCACAUUUGUCAUCCUGAUCUUUUUAUGCCAAGGUGAAAAAUAUCUACAUAGAGCAUGUUUGGUCUUGAUUUUCUGAGAAUAUAUUUUAUAAAAACUGUUCUCUCCCUCUCUCUUCAUUAUUAUUAUUAUUUUUUUGGGGGGAGAAUGUGUAGUUAGAAAGUAACGAAAAAUCAUGGAUCCAUGUGCAAAUUUAUUUUAUUGGGAGAAUGUACCGUUGAAAAUGAGUUUGGGGGAAAAAUAAGUUUUAAAGAAUCUGUAUGACUAUAGCAAACAGGGGCUUAAUAGAAAAUUUGAAGAAAUUAAAUUUUUGAAUGGAAAUUACUUUGUGACAUUCAUUUAUACUAUGUGAGAUGUCUAAUGUUAGCGGGCAUAAUGCUAUGUUUAUAUCUGAAAAAUAAUCUUGUAAAUUACUGAUGAUAAUAUUAAAAUGUAGUUGUGGCUAGAGAUAGUAUAGAUAUUUGAUCAUAAGAAAGUGAAACAUACAUAAUGAUAUAUGUUCUGUGCAUUAUGUUCAUUUUUUCAUUAGGAUGUUUACUUGCAAGGACGUGAUAAAAGUUGAAUAUAUUUGUUCCGAGGUAUCUUAGGGUUAAUAAAUAUUAUGGAAUUACAUGUCAUGUUAGUUCAACAAACAUAAAAAAUAACUCAGGUAUAAAGGAGCAAGUUUCAAUUGUGGGAGAACUUCUUGUAAAUGGGUAAUUUUAAUUAAGAAAAGUUUCUAAUGGAAAGCAGUUGAUGGUAGUUGAUGUGCUUAUUCCUCUGGGAGAGUUGGUUUUAGUAAUUAAUUUAAUUGUGGGCGGUGCACGAGCAUUAUGACAGGUUCCAUAUUUAUGAAUUAAUGUCCUUUUUUCAUUGACAUUUAUGGGUAUUAUGGGAUUUCUGUAGUUAGAAUCCGUACAACUCUUUCAACAUUCCCCUUUCCCCUUCUCUCUUGACACUUCCAACUGUACCUCCUUAUUGUCCAUUGUUCCUACUUCUCCACAUCCACCUACUCCAAAUAAUCUUGCAAUUUGUUUGCAUCCUCUCCUUGUUCAGUUUAGCUUCUGCAUGUUUACCUCUUCUAUGCAUACCAAACAGAUGGAAAUAAAUUAUUAUUUUGAUGGGACAGAAUGGAGCUCAAGAAGCUUAACUUAAUGUUGAAUUGUUUCUAUUAAUUUCUUUCAUAUUGGCGGGAUCGUAAUUUUGGACCAAAGAAUGCCCAAACUUUCCACCAUUUGAUGAAUACCUGUGUUUGUAUGUAUAUUUUGAAUAAAAGGGAUGGCAGUAUUACUUGCUAGUUGGCAGUUGACUUGUCAACAAGUCAUGACUUGCUGCUGGACAAUGGGUCUAACUCUAUCACCAGUUAUUAUUUGCAACUAAACAAGUCUUUACUUUCUGCUAGGCAAUUGAUGUGUCACUCGUCAGGCACCACAGAUCAACUAAUGAACCAAUUCAUGGUUGUUAGGCAAUCGAGUUUGAGAAUCAGACCUCUGGAAGAAUUUUUUAUUUCGUGUCUAAGGAACUUAAAUUAGCCUUGACAUGGGACAAAUAUGAGUUUUUUAUAAUAGUUCGUUAUGUCCAUAACUCAUGAACUUCAUUUUCUGUGUGUGCAUUCAUUUAUGGCUUGUGUUGUUCAUGUAUACUCUUUUCUUUCAUCAUGCUACCCUAAAAAUGAAACCUUUUGUCAAUUGCAAGUGCUAAUGUAAAGUUUCUGAUAGGCAUGUGCUAAAAGGAUUCAAGGUGAUGAAAGUGGGCACAAGCACUGUACUGGACAAUACUUCGAUUAUUGGCAAUGCGUUGACAAAUGUGUAAGCCCAUCUUUCCUGUUUACAUUUAUUCAUCUGCUGCCUCUGUUUCGGGUAUAUUUCAACUGUAUAUUAAUAUUUUGUCUGUUUUGCUGCUGACAUUGGUUUUUAAUGCACAGGUUGCAACAAAGCUGUUUACUCAUCUUAAGUAACUGGGCAAGACCUCAUUGUUAUGCUGGCACCAGAUAAAGCUCUUUUGUUCAAAACUAGUUCAGUAUUAUUCUAUUUUUGUGAAAACCAUUGAUGCUUGUAUGCCGCUACUUAGCUAAAUGGAACGUUGAACUAUGCGCCCUGCAUUGCGAUCAAUAAAAGGAAAACCGUGGGAUUGAAUUCAUUUGCUUUUGCAAUUAUUUAUGUUGCUUUCGUUUAACAAUUUACCGUUUAGUGUUUUGGAAAAUUAUUUGUUAACCUCAUUUGUAGACUCUUCUGAGAUUUUCCUUUGUUUUCUCUCUUUUGGGCGUAGUUAGGAUAAACCUUUUUAUAUUGCUCCGGUACAUCUUGGAAGACAUCAGCGAACUUUAGCACAGCAUUAUAAUGUUCUAUGUUGGUAUUGUCCCAUUUGUAUGCGGACAUAUUUAGAGAAAAUGAUUUUUUUGUCCCCAGUUUCAGGAGAGAAUAUUUUCGUGUAUAUAACUAUAUAUAAUUUGGAUUGUGGAAUGAAAAAAUAAAAAUAAAAGAUUGAC
rnacentral:lncRNA from 1 species